ACACACAUCCAACACCGGCUCUUUCAAAAUAUCUUCUAAGAAAUAAACGACCUAGCUAGGUCUCGACUGAAUGGAGACAAAAUGGAUUCAGGAUCAAGAGUCAUUAAAGAAGAAUCUGAUAACAGAAGAUGAUUACACUUGGAAAUUAGAAGACGACGACAGUAAAAAUAAUGGAGUUGAAUUAUUAUUAUUGAAAUAUAUAGGUGGAGUUGAUAUAAGUUUUUCAAAACAUGAUCCCUCUGUAGCUUGUGGAACUCUAGUUGUUUUGGAAUUCAAUACCUUAAACGUUGUUUACGAGGAUUCCGUUGUCGUUAAAAUCGAUGUUCCGUAUGUUGCUGGUUUUCUUGCCUUCAGAGAGGCUCCAAUAUUUCUGCAACUUUUGAAGAAAAUGCAGAAUGGUGCUCAUCCUUUCUACCCUCAGUUGUUGAUGAUUGAUGGAAAUGGAAUACUUCAUCCUCGAGGGUUUGGCUCAGCUUGCCAUCUUGGGGUUCUGGCUAAUCUUCCUACAAUUGGCAUAGGGAAGAAUUUGCAUCACGUGGAUGGUCUUACUAACUCCAGAGUAAGGGAGCUUCUGGAAGCGGAAGAGAACUUCAGUGUAGACUACAUCCCUUUAAUUGGGGACUCGGGCAACACUUUGGGAGGGGCAAUACUUUCAAGUAAAGGAUCAUUUAAACCAAUAUUUGUUUCAGUUGGUCACCGUAUAUCUCUUGAUUCUGCUGUUAAAGUUGUAAAAAGAACAUGCAAAUACCGUGUGCCAGAGCCUAUUAGGCAGGCUGACAUAAGAUCAAGAGACUGUCUACAGAAGCAUCAUUAAAUCAGUUGUAGAUGGUGUAACUGCAUUUUACCUACUUGGAGGUCCUUAAUUAGUUGAUUUAAAUGCACCCUUGUUUUCUGUUAGCAAAACAUUAGAAGUGAAUUGGCCAAGAAUGGCAAUGUCUCAAAUACCGAGUAGUAUUUUUAUCACAGGAGCUGCCCAAUAAAUCGAGGAAACGACUUUAUACUUCUCAGACUGGACCAUACCAGCCGACUAAACACGAUUUGACCAAAGAGGUGAGUUUUGAUGAUUGGAUCUAUACCCCAAAGUGUGAUAUGGUCAACUGAACAAAGAGGUGAGUAAAAAUGAUGUAUUUAGCCAAACAUAUAUCAAUAACAUUGUAACAAGGAGAAAUCUUCAAAAUCUCAACUAAAAAGAGCCUUUAUGUUCUUUUUUCCGCAAAAAAAGGGUCCUAUUUUAUUCUAA